AGUCUGUUUCCCGCGGUCUUCCUCCGUCUGACCCUGGCAGCCCGCUCCUCUGGCCCCGGGCUGUGUGGGGACCGCUUUCCCCCAGGCCCGUCGUCAGUGUCCUGAGCUCCGCCGACUCCCGCCCAUUGGCGUCGCAGGCCUGGUGACAAGCUGUCGCUGGCAUCUAGGGCUCCUGGGACUCAGGCACAUGGAGCUCCCUCGGGGCCAAAUUUGUGUCACGCGCAGGGACACCGGAGGCGCGUGCACAGUCCGUGUAACGGCUUUGCUUGGCGCGUCUCCGUUUCUCUUCUGAGGGGCUGAGAGUCGCGGAGUUUCCUAGUUGGAGGCUGUGGCGGACGCGAUUUGCUUCCUCAUAUAGGGUUCCGGAGGCGGCGAAAAGUCCAGCGGGUCUCCGAAGCCGGUAGACGGAGCCAUGAAGAAGACGUCGGGCUUCAGGAGGGGGAAGGGCGGGCUGCCCUGGGGCUCGGUCAGCAGCCCCGGGAAGGUGGGCGCGGGCGCCGGGAGUGAGAGUGCGGACCACGCCUCCUCCCAGCCCAGGCGCCACGACCCGGACAAGGGGUUCGACAGGCUCCGCAGAGCUGCCGGCCGACACCGGACAGAGACGAUGCGGCGGAUCCUUUCUCUGCCGAAGAGUGGCGUGGAUGACAGAGACGAGAAGAACAGGCUGUCCAACGAACAGAGUUCUGGUGACUCAUGGCUUUCAAUAGAUGAUGAACUCUUUGAUUCUGGUACCAAGACUACCUUUGAGAAUGUUCCACAGAAAUAUGAUAGUCACUUAACUGGAGCUGAUGAUGGUCAAAGAGGAAAAAUUACAAUAAAGGAACAAGAAGGACCACACUCUCAGUAGCAAGGGUAUAGCUGUGCCUUCAGAGAAAUCUCGAAGAAGAGCCCUUGGAUCACCACUCAAGACAUAACAGGAUCAAGGGAAAGCAUGAUUUUCCCUUUAUUUCUGAGCGUGUCUCUGGCCAGAGGGGAAGGAGAAAGAGAUGAAGAAACAGAAAUCAUCAUUGGAAGAUACUACUGCUAAAUGAAGAGAAGAGAAGUCAUGGGAAUAGUCCAUCAAAAGGCGGCAGAAAGGUCAGAAUCAGGACAACAGAUCUAGAGACUACUUUUGCAAAGGAAGAGGGAUUGUGAGUGGAGGAGGAGGGAGGAAAGAAAGAAGUUGGCUAGUUAAUUUUGGAGUUGAUAAUAGGGAAACUUGAGAGCUGUCACUUCUAGUGACUGCAAUAUAUUGGCACUCAAACAGAAGAUUAGGUGAUUGCUGUUCCAGGAAUUACUGGAAGGAGGGAGUGCUAGAAUGGGGGUAAACCACAGGAACUAAUUUCUUCUCUCUGUAACUAUCAGACAUCAAAGAUGCAUGUUUUGUUGAUA
ensembl:lncRNA novel transcript